rnacentral:tRNA from 1 species
GGCCCCGUAGUUUAGUUGAAUAGAACGACAGAUUCCGGUUCUGUAGGUCACAGGUUUGAGUCCUGUCGGGGUCA